GGAGUGUUGGCUCAGUCAGUAGAGCGGCCGCCUCACAACCGGGAGGUCGUGGGUUCGAACCCCGGCCGCGUCA
rnacentral:tRNA from 1 species